UCCAAUUAUUUUUAAUUACAGGGUUCUGAUCCUCGAGCUGCCACAUGUCGUGGAAAAUUACAAAGUCGUCGCUGUAAAUUAAAUCAGGAAAUCAACAAAGAAUUACGUUUACGAGCCGGUGCUGAAAACCUCUUUAAGGCAACCACAAAUCGUAAAUUACGUGAUACCGUAGCUCUAGAAUUGAGUUUUGUCAAUUCAAAUUUACAAUUAUUAAAAGAACAAUUGGCUGAAUUAAAUUCAUCAGUGGAAAUUUAU